UGUCGUCAGCUCGUGUUGUGAAAUGUUGGGUUAAGUCCCGCAACGAGCGCAACCCUUAUCCUUUGUUGCCAGCGGUCCGGCCGGGAACUCAAAGGAGACUGCCAGUGAUAAACUGGAGGAAGGUGGGGAUGACGUCAAGUCAUCAUGGCCCUUACGACCAGGGCUACACACGUGCUACAAUGGCGCAUACAAAGAGAAGCGACCUCGCGAGAGCAAGCGGACCUCAUAAAGUGCGUCGUAGUCCGGAUUGGAGUCUGCAACUCGACUCCAU
rnacentral:rRNA from 1 species